rnacentral:lncRNA from 1 species
GAGGAGUUCUGAGGCUGCCUGUUUAAGCCCUUAAUCAAAAGACACAAUAUUGCAAAGAGUCUCUAGCUGGAAUUUCCUUUCUUUUCAAACAAGCAAAGGAAUCAGAAGAAAAUAAGAAUUGAAGCUUUGAAGAGCUAUGCUGAAGAAGCCCAGGAAGUUUCCAGAUUCUUCCAGAUGGCAUUUGCCAUAGCGAGAUGGUCCAGUUCAUGGACUUUUUCCCCAUUUCUGUUUUUUGAGAAUUAAGAGAGAGCUUGCUUGUGUGUACUCUCUUGGAAGGUGACAGUAAGAGAGGGUAGGAUGUGGAAGAGGAAUAAGUGCAAUGGCUCCAACCU